AUGAGCAAAGCUAUAGGACCUAAGUCUCAGGCCCUCUCUACACAUGAAAAGGAGUGUCUGGUUGUGUUACUUGCUGUAGAAAAAUGGAAAUCAUAGCUACAACGAGCUCCUUUCACCAUUUCCACCGAUCACAAAAACUUGACACGUCUGCAAGACAAGAAGUUGAGUAUCUCUACGCAACAUAAAACAUUUCUUAAUCUGUUGGGUCUCCAAUAUAACACUGUCUAUAGAAAAGGUUUGGCUAAGGCUGUAGUUGAUGCUUUGUCAAGGUCCCCUGCACCUAUGGAAUUAGCUGAUAUUUCCUUUUGCACACACAAAUGGCUAUCAGUGGUGUCCGAAGCUUACCAAUUGUUCCUUGUAGAUAAAGAUUUGUUGCAGGAACUGACACUGACAAGACCAAAUGACGAAGGGUACUCUCUCCAUCAAGGGGCCAUCAGAUAUAAAGAUAAAAUUUGGCUUCAUAACACUAAAGCACAGCAGGCCAUUAUGUUGUCUUUACAUGCCAGUGGUAUUGGAGCGCAUUCAAGUUUUCAAGCCACUUACCAAAGAAUUAAAGGUCUUUUUGCAUGGCAUGCAAUGAACACAUGA
rnacentral:rRNA from 1 species